CGUAGGGUGCGAGCGUUAAUCGGAAUUACUGGGCGUAAAGCGUGCGCAGGCGGUUAUGUAAGACAGGUGUGAAAUCCCCGGGCUUAACCUGGGAACUGCAUUUGUGACUGCAUAGCUAGAGUACGGUAGAGGGGGAUGGAAUUCCGCGUGUAGCAGUGAAAUGCGUAGAUAUGCGGAGGAACACCGAUGGCGAAGGCAAUCCCCUGGACCUGUACUGACGCUCCUGCACGAAAGCGUGGGGAGCAAACAGGAUUAGAUACCCUGGUAGUCCACGCCCUAAACGAUGUCAACUGGUUGUUGGGUCUUCACUGACUCAGUAACGAAGCUAACGCGUGAAGUUGACCGCCUGGGGAGUACGGCCGCAAGGUUG
rnacentral:rRNA from 1 species